UAGAGUUUUGAUCCUGGCUCAGAUUGAACGCUGGCGGCAGGCCUAACACAUGCAAGUCGAGCGGUAGCACAGGAGAGCUUGCUCUNUGGGUGACGAGCGGCGGACGGGUGAGUAAUGUCUGGGAAACUGCCUGAUGGAGGGGGAUAACUACUGGAAACGGUAGCUAAUACCGCAUGAUGUCGCAAGACCAAAGUGGGGGACCUUCGGGCCUCACGCCAUCGGAUGUGCCCAGAUGGGAUUAGCUAGUAGGUGAGGUAAUGGCUCACAUAGGAGACGAUCCCUAGCUGGUCUGAGAGGAUGACCAGCCACACUGGAACUGAGACACGGUCCAGACUCCUACGGGAGGCAGCAGUGGGGAAUAUUGCACAAUGGGCGCAAGCCUGAUGCAGCCAUGNUGUGUGUGUGAAGAANCCCCUUACNGUUGUAAAGAACUUUCAGCGAGGAGGAAGGCGUUGCAGUU
rnacentral:rRNA from 1 species